CUAGCGACUUCAGAGUUUGAUCCUGGCUCAGGAUGAACGCUGGCGGCGUGCAUAACACAUUCAAGUCGAACGAGCGUAGCGAUACGCGAGUGGCGGACGGGUGAGUAACGCGUAAGCAAUCUGCCUCUGUGUGGGGAAGUAACAGCCGGAAACAGCUGCUAAUACCGCAUAAUACAUUCUGGUCGCAUGUCUGGAAUGUCAAAGAUUUAUCGCACAGAGAUGAGCUUGCGUCCGAUUAGAUGGUUGGUGGGGUAACGGCCUACCAAGUCGACGAUCGGUAGCCGGACUGAGAGGUUGAACGGCCACAUUGGAACUGAGAAACGGUCCAG
rnacentral:rRNA from 1 species